UGGGGAAUUUUGGACAAUGGGCGAAAGCCUGAUCCAGCAAUGCCGCGUGUGUGAAGAAGGCCUUCGGGUUGUAAAGCACUUUUGUCCGGAAAGAAAUCCUUGGCUCUAAUACAGUCGGGGGAUGACGGUACCGGAAGAAUAAGCACCGGCUAACUACGUGCCAGCAGCCGCGGUAAUACGUAGGGUGCAAGCGUUAAUCGGAAUUACUGGGCGUAAAGCGUGCGCAGGCGGUUUGCUAAGACCGAUGUGAAACCCCGGGCUCAACCUGGGAACUGCAUUGGUGACUGGCAGGCUAGAGUAUGGCAGAGGGGGGUAGAAUUCCACGUGUAGCAGUGAAAUGCGUAGAGAUGUGGAGGAAUACCGAUGGCGAAGGCAGCCCCCUGGGCCAAUACUGACGCUCAUGCACGAAAGCGUGGGGAGCAAACAGGAUUAGAUACCCUGGUAGUCCACGCCCUAAAACGAUGUCAACUAGUUGUUGGGGAUUCAUUUCCUUAGUAACGUAGCUAACGCGUGAAGUUGACCGCCUGGGGAGUACGAUCGCAAGAUUAAAACUUAAA
rnacentral:rRNA from 1 species